rnacentral:lncRNA from 1 species
UGGAAUUAUAUAAAUAAAAUAAUCAAAAUAAAUAUUACAAUAAACAGAGUAACAAUAAAAAUAGAGGAACUUGUUGCUGAUGUAGUAGCAGUAUUGAAAGGACCAAUGCUUGUGUUGCUCACAGUUCCCUUAAAAUUGAUUCGUCCUCCACUGUAGUGCAAGAUGAUUGAUGGUAUCCGUUUUUCAGGAUACAACGGUUGAAAGUAACGAACUAGUAGAUGAACUAAGAGUGCUCACAAUUCUAUCAUCAGACUAAAAAAUAAUUAUCUAAGUUACUAAGAACAAGACUCUUGAAAAUAAAUAAAGAAUAUAAAAACUUGGAGAGCUAACACUUCCUUAUAUGGCUUUUGGAUGGAGG